ensembl:lncRNA
GUACUGAGCAAGCUGCAGGAGAUCACCUUGGCUAUUGCAACAGUGCACAAGUAACUGCACAGUGAAAGUACACUAUUUACACAGACUUCAGAAUAAUAGAGUUAUAUAUUAAUCAAUGUGGUUUUGGAUAUCCUCUUAAACGUUUGAGAACUGUGACUUCAGUCAUGAUUAAUUGCUUGUGAUUUUGAAGUGAUUGUCUCAUUGUUGAUGAAAUCAGAUUCUUCUGCAGCAAAAUACUAUGCAUGCUCAUUUUAAAACAAAAUCUCUAAAGCUAAUCACUAUGAAGUAGUGCAUAACAUAAUAAUUUCAGAAGUAUCCACCUGUGUGGGAUUAGGAAUUGCCUGUUAUGUGCCUCUUAAGAAUACUAUCAAAACCUUAAAGCAAUUUAUGUAUUGUGUGUCUAUUAACAGGUUGACUGUUAAGUACCAUACCAAAUAGUAUUUGCUCUUAAAGUACCAUUUAUGUAAAAAAUAAUCCUUUAAAGCAAAACUGACCAGGUGGAACAUAAUUUAGAUGGUCUUUUUUGUCUUCAUCUUGUCAGAGGAACUGCUGUGUAACUCUCCUACUAUGAGAAUCUGGCGUGCAUACUUUAUACAGUUGAAUGUUGCAUCUGAAAUCAGUAGAGAUAACUGGGCUCAGGUUGCAAGUUGCCUGGGGAGAAGCAUUUUUUUAAGGCUAUCAUGAAUACUUCAGAAAUUUCAAGGUGAAUUGAAAAAAUGUAUUAAAAAAAAAAAAAACAACACAAUCUUUGGUAUAUAAAAAUAUGAAUGAAGUAUUUUAAUAGAAAGUAAUAUGAAUAUUACAAUACUUUGUUGGUAUACAUCUUAAAGGGUUGCAUAACCACCUUACCACUGAGUUUUGCUCUAGGUUGUUUCAACCUCUUGCUAUUCGUUAAUGUUUUACAUAAUUUGUCUGUGUUCCUGUUUGACAUAAAAAUCUAGGAUCAAUAAGUAGCCCAGCUAUUUGCUAGAGGACACAUUACUGUUUACUUACAAAGCUCUAGCAUUUUAGUCAUCUUAUUAGCUUCCUAGGAAUUAUUACACGCGUUUUGUAAUUGUAUUAUUUGAAGGCAAAUCUCUGAGGAAAACAAAGCAAAACAAUACCCUCUAAACUACCUGCAUUUUAUUCUCGGUCUCAUCAAAAUUUGCCAGUCUCACUAGUUUGCUGGGCCAGGUAUCCUGCCUGCCUCCUGAAAUAGAUGCCAGGUUGCUAUGUAGUCAGCAUUAUUUAUCUUUGAAUAAUGACGUCAGUUUGCCCAUAGUUGUACUAGACAGAGAACUUGUGUGUACUCAGUCUCCUGGUGCAAGUCAAUUCUUCACCAGCAGUAGCUGGUGGAAUUUUUUCUCCCUCGCAUGAUAUUAAAUCACAAUGAACCCAAUAAAAGUUCACUGGAAACUUUGGAAU